AGAUUUGCUGGGUUUUCAUAUUCCAAGAAAGACUCUGGCAUUUCAAUACAGAAACAAAGCUCCAAAUUUGGAAGCAGCAGUGAAACUCCACAGAUUACUGAGGGCAAAAUUGCUGGGUCAUAUGGCACCAAGGAAAGGUCUUGUGCUGACACAGGGAGAAAGCUGUCAUUUACAAGCUGGGAGGAGACCUUCACCAGAAACUGAAUUUGCUACCACCUGGAUCAUGAACUUUUACUCUCCAAAACGGAAGGAGGUGAUGAAGAGAGAAAGAAAGGAUGGAAGGAAGGAGGAAGUGGACAAUGAGCCCAGAGCCCUCACCUGAGUUCCAAACAUUUAAGUCAAACUGCCAACUUCAUUCUCCAUUUGGACGAUUUCUCAACAUGUACAAAACCAAGUCCUGAUUUUUCCGUGACCCCAAAUCUGUUCUAUCUGAAGCCUCCCUAUCUCAGUUACUGAUCCUGGCUGAUGGAUGUAAUGAAGGCAUGAACUAUACUAGUUGAACAAGGAAAUGAACUUGAACCAAAUUGUGAAGUUCUCUGCAGUGAAAUAUUAAAGAUUAGCAAGCUAAACAGAGAAAAAGAUAACACUCAAGAAACUGCCUAUAUGUAAGAGAUUCCUUUGAGAACUUUCAAAUGGCUCCUUUCUACAAAAGACCUGAGAAUACUUAACCCCCCACCACUAGCACACUCAAAGCUCAAGGCAAAUGCAUUUUCAAGAUUGACAGGGUCUUGGACUCUGAAAGUCUUUGGACCCAAGAAAAAUCGUGUUAUCUAAGAGAGCAGUUAUUCUGACACAGACUGAUAUCAGGUGCCUGUGGCAUGAAACACGGAAGAGAAUAAUAGCAUCUACCUUAUAAGAAGACAUACUAUAUUCUGGACCACAUAUCUGAUAAUUCUUACAGCCCUUUAAAGAUAAUCAUAACUAGAAUAUUAUCUUAUUUUGUAGCUCAUAGAUGUCAAAAGACUAGCUCAUAAUUUUAUUGCGGAUACAUAGCAGAACCAAGAUUUGAACUCAGACCUGUCUCAUUCCACAACUCAUUUUCCUUGAAGUCAAUAGAUGCCACUGAUCUCUAAAUACCUACAAAAGGGGCUCGGAGGUGGAGAGGGGAUGUCUGAGGAGCCUUAGGACUACCACCCAAUGUUCUGUCUUUAGAUAGAGAUGCUAUCACCAAUCUCUCUUUCACACAUACUCCUCCUCUUCUCAUUUCUGUUCGUGUACUUGGUUCUCAGUGUAAGAUUUUGUUAGAAGAAAGAGGCAUGUUGGUAAAAUAAGAAAUAAUAUAUCAAAAAUAAAAUAAAAUUGUUUGAAAGUCU
rnacentral:lncRNA from 10 species